rnacentral:rRNA from 1 species
GCUCAGAUUGAACGCUGGCGGCAGGCUUAACACAUGCAAGUCGAGCGGUAACAGGGGAGCUUGCUCCUGCUGACGAGCGGCGGACGGGUGAGUAACGCGUAGGAAUCUGCCUAGUAGAGGGGGACAACAUGUGGAAACGCAUGCUAAUACCGCAUACGCCCUAAGGGGGAAAGGAGGGGACUCUUCGGAGCCUUCCGCUAUUAGAUGAGCCUGCGUGAGAUUAGCUAGUUGGUAGGGUAAAGGCCUACCAAGGCGACGAUCUCUAACUGGUCUGAGAGGAUGACCAGUCACACUGGGACUGAGACACGGCCCAGACUCCUACGGGAGGCAGCAGUGGGGAAUAUUGGACAAUGGGCGCAAGCCUGAUCCAGCCAUGCCGCGUGUGUGAAGAAGGCCUUAGGGUUGUAAAGCACUUUCAGGGGUGAGGAAGGGUGAUAGCUUAAUACGUUAUCAUUUUGACGUUAGCCCCAGAAGAAGCACCGGCU